rnacentral:lncRNA from 1 species
UACUCAGAACAGGAAACCCUGGUGGUGCUACUUCCCUGUGAAGUUGUUCGGCAGUCAGUCAAAUUCAGAAGCUGGCAGGUAAGUGUCCCUGGGUUAAAAAUGUGAUUUGGGUUGGGGAGCUUGAGGACUUCUUUGACCUACUCUGUUUCCUAUGAACUUACUUAGAUGGAUUCUCAGCGGUCCCCAGUCCUGGUCCGCAGUCCUGGUCCCAUGUGCCCUGAUGGGCAAAACUUGGGGAAGGGAAGGGCAGGGGAAGGCUGCAGAGGAAAAUGCUGGAGCCUGUGAGGAGAAGGUGUCAUGUGGAGGACAGAAACGGUGUGGCGUUGUCCUUGAGACACCUCGAGCACACAACUCGCCCUCGAACCUAGAUCUGCUCCUGAGCUGAAUGACCUGUGCUUCCAGCAGGCUGGCGGGGGGUGCCGCUCCCUUCCCUGCUCCAGGCUCCUUUUUCUCUUCUCUUGGUGCAGCUCUGGAGCAGUGGGCCAAAGUGGUCAACGUUUACAUCUGCACCUGGAAAGGAUGCUCCUUGCCUGCUACGGAGAAGGAGCAGCUCUACGAAAGCCUUUCCCAGGUGUUGUGCUCUGUGGCAAGCACCUUGCUGGACUGCCAGGAGGAAGAGGACAAGCAAGCUGUCAUCGGGGCCAUGACUCCCUUGAUGCGUGUCCUCCUGCACAAGGAGGAGCACUGGGAGCAGCUCCUCUGGCUCCUGCACCAGGACCGGACGGUCCAAGACGCCUCCAGGGUGACCAAGGUGACGUGUGGCGCAGGGCCUGGCACGGCCAUGGGGUCUGUGCAAGUGGCACGAGGGCUCAGGGAGCUGUGGCAUGCAGGGAGGAGCCAGGGAGAUCCCCUUAGAGAAACGAGCAGAAGGCAGAGCUGAGCCAGUGCAUCCUGCUGCAAGCUUGCAUCUGCCCAGAGGAGACGAUCCUGUUCCUGGAGUCCCAGCUGGGCCACGAGAGGGAGGCCGUGCGCGUGGCAGCCCUGGGUCUGCUUGGUGCUCUGGCACGCUGUGACGGUCAGUACUGCGGGGUCAGGGCUUGGAGGGCUCUCUUCCGCCCUCUGGGCUGUGCCUCCACGCAUGCCUCACUGGCUCUCUUGCAGAGCCCACGAUGGCAGAGAAGCUGCCCCAGGUGGUGGAGGCUGUCAAGCGUGUGUGCAGGGACCCCAGCAUCCGGGUGAGCUGCUUUGGGAAGGGACUGUGCCGUCGGGGUGGGAGAGAAACCUUUUCCCUCAGGGCAGAGGCAGAGCCUGGCAAGGCUGGACUAGAAGGGCUCGGACCUAUCCAGCCAUUUCCCCGCUCCUUCGUGUUUACCGGAGGGAGGGCUGACGGCCAGAGGUGAUGCCGCUGCCAGCAUGGGCAGGUCCCCGUGUCCCUGUGCUAAGCACACUUGACCCCUGGCAGGUGAGGAGGGCAGUUCUGCACUUCAUCAGGGAGCUGCUCAGUGCCAAUGCCCAGAGCUGCUCAGCAUGGGACGUUGUGGGCUACAUCUUCAGCGAGUUCAGCCAGAGCUCAAGCAGAAGGGUAAGGACAGCGUGCAACAUCUUCCCUGGGGAGAUCUGCUGCCAGGAGGCUGGCAUGGGAGCCUGCUGGGGCCACGCCUGAGCCUUCUGGGGCAGGAACUGAGAGCAAGCGGGGCAGGGGGUUCCCAAUGUUGUCUUGCAGGCUGUGGGACUCCUGUCUGCCCAGGAAGAAGGAGCUCUCCAAGGGCUGUGCAUGGAUGUCCUGGGGUCCCUGGACAUCUCUGAGAGGGAUGGCCAAAGUAAGUCCUCCUCUGUCCUGUUGCUGCUGCUGCUCCUCUCCUCUCUUCAGGCCAUUUGUUCCUAGCCCCCUUUGC